AACGUAGGAGACAAACGUUAUCCGGAGUUACUGGGCGUAAAGGGCGUGUAGGUGGUUUCGUAAGUCUGGCGUGAAAUACUUCGGCUUAACCGGGGCAGGUCGUCGGAUACUGCGGGACUAGAGGGCGGUAGAGGCGUGUGGAAUUCCGGGUGUAGUGGUGAAAUGCGUAGAGAUCCGGAGGAACACCAGUGGCGAAGGCGACACGCUGGGCCGCACCUGACACUGAGGCGCGAUAGCAUGGGGAGCAAAC
rnacentral:rRNA from 1 species